UCUGAGACAGGUGCUGCAUGGCUGUCGUCAGCUCGUGUUGUGAAAUGUUGGGUUAAGUCCCGCAACGAGCGCAACCCUUAUCCUUUGUUGCCAGCGGUUCGGCCGGGAACUCAAAGGAGACUGCCAGUGAUAAACUGGAGGAAGGUGGGGAUGACGUCAAGUCAUCAUGGCCCUUACGAGUAGGGCUACACACGUGCUACAAUGGCGUAUACAAAGAGAAGCGACCUCGCGAGAGCAAGCGGACCUCAUAAAGUACGUCGUAGUCCGGAUUGGAGUCUGCAACUCGACUCCAUGAAGUCGGAAUCGCUAGUAAUCGUAGAUCAGAAUGCUACGGUGAAUACGUUCC
rnacentral:rRNA from 1 species